AUGACGGGGAGGAUGGGGUUGCUUGUGCUGUUCGUAGCGGCGGUAUUGGUCGCGCCGUCGAGAGGGGGAGGAGAGGUGGACGGUGUGCAUGUCUCGUCUGCUUGGACGCGGCCUGCCUCUUCUUCUUCCACCUCUGCUCCUCCCUCUUCGCUGGUUCUGGAUGGGGAUCUCGUGGACAAAAUACGGUCAAUUUGCUUACAAGACGUAGUUGGCGCGGAGGAGACGUUUGCUUAUGAUGAACCGCCGAGCCAUUCUUCAAAGGGUGAACUGAAGACGAUGCUGCUUAUGGAGCUUCUGGCCCUUCUUCCACCUGACAAGUCUUCUGUUACUCACGACUGUAUCCGCGCAAAUUAUUUCAGCUUGGGCAUGUCACAAGAAUUUAUCAACUAUCUUGAGGACCAGCAGUUCUUGCCUGGUUCAAACUUCUAUCCAAGAAGACGGCAUUUGGCUGAUCGAAUGGUUGGAGGUGCUCCAUCCUCCGGAGGUCAAGCUCCGUUUCCUCUUUCUCUGACGGAGCAACCAUUUACACCUCCCAACUCUCCGAACACCGAACCUCGCAGCCGACAUCUCGAAGAUAGACCUGCAAAGAAGCGUCGGGGAGUGCCUCCCCCAGUUUCACCUUCCGAUAAGCAGCACAACUACAUAAAGUUGGUCUUGACUGUUGUGCUCCCGACGGCGGCGUUCUCGUUCAUUGCUGCAUUUCUGAUUUUCUACUGCUGUGGGUGCAAUAAGAGCAAGGUCUCUGUCGGUGAGCCUAGAGAUGACCAUCCUCUUCUUCACAUGCAGUUGGCUAACACGCCUGGCUCGUCACCUGUUAUCCGUGCAUCCUCCAGUCAGCUUCACAAGGAUGAUCCAGGGGUCAGGACUUCUAAGGCCGGAGGCAGCAUGAGUCGGUGCUUUCCAUGCUGUUUUAAAACCUCAACUGAUGUGUCAACUCCCCCGCAAGCUACUGGGGGAACACAGAACAACACAAGUGAUGCUCCUAAACCAAUGCCUCCGCCGCCGCCGCCGCCGCCGCCUCCACCACCGCCUCCUCCUGUCAGGAAGGCUGGUCCUCCCCCACCUGCACCUCCCAAAGGCUCAUUAGCAAGAUUUCCUCAGAUGUCACCUGUUGAGUCAAGUCAUUCUGAAGGAUCAUCUGCAAGCGAGCAGGCCAGUGAAUCAUCUGAAGCUGAAGUGGGUGCUCCAAGACCCAAACUUCGACCAUUCUAUUGGAACAAAGUUCUUGCCAAUCCUAACCAGUCGAUGGCCUGGCAUGACAUCAAGUUUGGUUCUUUUCAUGUGAACGAGGAUAUGAUAGAGGCAUUGUUUGGUUAUGGCGCUGGCAACAGAAACAACACCAAGGACAAGGAACUUGCCAUGGCUGACCCUUCACCUCAGCAUGUUUCUCUUCUUGAUUUUAAGAAAUCGUGCAACCUGGCAGUUGUUUUCAAGGCAAUGAAUGUCAGGGUAGAGGACAUUCAAGAUGCUCUUCUUGAAGGAAAUGAACUUCCUAGACUACUUCUUGAGACAAUCUUGAGAAUGAAACCAAAUGAUGAGGAGGAGCUGAAACUCAGGCUUUACGAUGGGGACUACUCGCAACUAGGUCUUGCGGAACAAGUCAUGAAGGCACUAACUGACAUUCCUUUUGCUUACAAGAGGAUCAGUGCUCUGCUUUUCAUGUCAUCUUUGCAAGAAGAUGCUUCAAGUCUCAGGGAUUCAUUCCUGCAAUUGGAGGCUGCUUGUGGGGAACUAAAGCACCGCCUUUUUCUGAAGCUGCUAGAAGCUGUUCUCAAAACUGGAAACCGUUUGAAUGACGGGACCUUCCGUGGUGGUGCUAACGCGUUCAAACUUGACACCCUUCUGAAGUUGUCAGAUGUCAAGGGUGCCGAUGGAAAGACUACACUGCUUCACUUUGUUGUCCAGGAGAUUAUUCGAUCUGAAGGUGUCCGCAAAGCAAGGUUGGCCAUGGAAAGUGAAAGGACUCAACCUUCAGGAGAUGAUUCGAACGGAUCUGUUCAAGAAGAUGGCGAGUACUACUCCAAGCUCGGCCUAAAGAUUGUAUCAGGGCUUAGCAGUGAAUUGGUUAAUGCCAAGAACAUAGCUGCACUAGAUGCGGAUGCUUUGUCUGCCAGUGUGUUGCAGCUCAGACGCGAGUUGCUGAACACAAAGGAGUUUCUGAACUCUGACAUGGCAACGAUAGAUGAGAACAGCGGAUUCCACCGCUCUUUGGUACGUUUCGUGGAACAUGCAGAGAAUGAGACCAACUUUCUGUUGAAAGAAGAGAAGAGGUUGAGAUCAUUGGUGAAGAAAACAAUUCGGUAUUUCCAUGGAAACGAUGUGAAAGAUGACGGAUUUAGCCUGUUUGUCAUUGUAAGAGAUUUUUUGGUGAUGCUAGAUAAGGCCUGCAAGGAAGUUGGGGCAUCACAAAAGAAGGCGGCAAGUCAAUCUCGGAGCAGUGGCAGUUGUAACCCAGCUUCCCAGUUAAAUCCCCAGGAGAAACAGUUUCCUGCAGUACUGGAUGAUCAUUUAGAUAGCUCGGACUCAAAUGAUUAA
rnacentral:rRNA from 1 species